rnacentral:rRNA from 2 species
UCCUANNGGGNAGCAGCAGUAGGGAAUCUUCCGCAAUGGACGAAAGUCUGACGGAGCAACGCCGCGUGAGUGAUGAAGGCUUUCGGGUCGUAAAACUCUGUUGUUAGGGAAGAACAAGUGCUAGUUGAAUAAGCUGGCACCUUGACGGUACCUAACCAGAAAGCCACGGCUAACUACGUGCCAGCAGCCGCGGUAAUACGUAGGUGGCAAGCGUUAUCCGGAAUUAUUGGGCGUAAAGCGCGCGCAGGUGGUUUCUUAAGUCUGAUGUGAAAGCCCACGGCUCAACCGUGGAGGGUCAUUGGAAACUGGGAGACUUGAGUGCAGAAGAGGAAAGUGGAAUUCCAUGUGUAGCGGUGAAAUGCGUAGAGAUAUGGAGGAACACCAGUGGCGAAGGCGACUUUCUGGUCUGUAACUGACACUGAGGCGCGAAAGCGUGGGGAGCAAACAGGAUUAGAUACCCUGGUAGUCCACGCCGUAAACGAUGAGUGCUAAGUGUUAGAGGGUUUCCGCCCUUUAGUGCUGAAGUUAACGCAUUAAGCACUCCGCCUGGGGAGUACGGCCGCAAGGC